rnacentral:rRNA from 1 species
ACGCUGGCGGCAGGCCUAACACAUGCAAGUCGAGCGGUAGAGAGAAGCUUGCUUCUCUUGAGAGCGGCGGACGGGUGAGUAAUGCCUAGGAAUCUGCCUGGUAGUGGGGGAUAACGUUCGGAAACGGACGCUAAUACCGCAUACGUCCUACGGGAGAAAGCAGGGGACCUUCGGGCCUUGCGCUAUCAGAUGAGCCUAGGUCGGAUUAGCUAGUUGGUGGGGUGAUGGCUCACCAAGGCGACGAUCCGUAACUGGUCUGAGAGGAUGAUCAGUCACACUGGAACUGAGACACGGUCCAGACUCCUACGGGAGGCAGCAGUGGGGAAUAUUGGACAAUGGGCGAAAGCCUGAUCCAGCCAUGCCGCGUGUGUGAAGAAGGUCUUCGGAUUGUAAAGCACUUUAAGUUGGGAGGAAGGGCAGUAAAUUAAUACUUUGCUGUUUUGACGUUACCGACAGAAUAAGCACCGGCUAACUCUGUGCCAGCAGCCGCGGUAAUACAGAGGGUGCAAGCGUUAAUCGGAAUUACUGGGCGUAAAGCGCGCGUAGGUGGUUAGUUAAGUUGGAUGUGAAAUCCCCGGGCUCAACCUGGGAACUGCAUUCAAAACUGACUGACUAGAGUAUGGUAGAGGGUGGUGGAAUUUCCUGUGUAGCGGUGAAAUGCGUAGAUAUAGGAAGGAACACCAGUGGCGAAGGCGACCACCUGGACUGAUACUGACACUGAGGUGCGAAAGCGUGGGGAGCAAAC